GAACCGCAGGUGAAACUUCACGGAAGCCACACCGAGGAACAUAAACCCUGUGUCAGUCUGCAGAGAGAGUCACCUCCUCAUCACCACCACCAGCAGCAGCAGGCUGCAUUGUCCCAGGGUGUACUACAGUAUAUGGGCGCCCCCUAGCGUACGCUUUCUUUCUGCUUCAAAUAAGAUUCAAUUGAGAGGAGCCAUCCGACGAGGAAACCGCCUCAGUCUCGUCUCACGCAUCGACCAAACUAACGAGCACCAUUUUUUAAACUGAUCACUGUUUGUUUAAAUUCUGUUUUGCAUGACUUGGACGGCAAAGCUUUGAGAGUUGCCAAAGUUGGAUUUACUUUUUUUUCCCCUCUCUCUCUCUCUCUCUCUCCCCCCUCGCCACUUCAGGCAGUCCCAGCGGUGAUCCCGCGAGCACGGAGCGUCUGUAAAUAAAGAAAAGAACAAAAAAAACACUCACGCAAGAUAUCGACUCAUCGAGGAGCCAGUUUUGCUUCGAAUGGUAAGUAAACAUUUUUGCACGCUUUAUAAUGAUGAUGGAGCAAAGAAGCCACGCGUUAUUCCACGUGCUGUAAACUGCACAUCGUCUCGCUGCAAACAAUAAGGUGCAUAUGCGAUAUACUUCCACAGUGCGCAUUGCAUACGGAAGAUAUUUCGCUGAUGAUUAUCAUCCGAGUGGUCAUUUAUAUGAUGAUCACACUAUAAGGUUAGUUAUUUGCAAAAAUACCAAUUCAUAAAGUUACCCCUUGAUAUUUGAUGGCGACAGUGAGGCUUAUAAAACCUACCAAAUGCAUAUGUUGCUGAUUCGUCCGCAGCAGGAUGCAUCUUCUCUCUUAUAUAUUUAGUCUUCUCUUUCUGGACACAGUGCUCAGAUUGAAGCGGGCAGAGCUUCCUCUCCGACAGACGGCAUCAAACACGUUGUUUAUUGGAAAAACGGCAAUGUCUGAUCAUGCACAGAAAAGCAAAAACAAAAAAAAAAACUUUUGGAGAGCCGAAACCAUGCAGCCAGACUGGUUCACGUCAUGUGUCGUUGAGCGAAGGAAUUGGAAAUGUAACGUUGACGUGUCGUCCGAGCAGAAAUAUCAUUUGACUGCCUCUGGGAUCCCGUGCGCCUUUUCCCUCCUACAGUAACGUGGCCGCCGCUGCUUUGUGUGGGCUACUGAGGAGAGGAGAGGGGGAGGGAGGGAGGGGGUGAAGUCAGAACAGACACCUGUCUUUAAGUAUGGCGAGCAGGCGUUAUGAGAUUCUGCUUAUUGGAAAUUAAAGAGGACUUGGACGUAAAGGCACAGUAAGUCUCGUGAUUAGAGGUGUAAUUAAAAAACGGCCUCAAAUUUAAUUUGCUUGUAAAAAUAUUUCACCAAUAUUCUUAAAUAACAAAAGCAACAUUGACAGUUGUAUUAUUGUCAUCAUUAGUAUUAUCUAAUUAAUUAUGACAUCAAAUUACGGCGUAUAUAUAUAUAUAUAUAUUAUUCAAAAUAAAAAAACAAUAACGUCAUUUUUAAUUGCUGCACCUCUGGUUAUGACAUAUAUAUGCAGAGAAUAAGAAGGUUAAUAUAAGGAAUGAUUAUAGCCUCAGUUAAUUAAUCUGUGGCGAGAUGAUGCCGAGCACCUUUUUUUUUUUUACGCAUAUACAUUUGCACACCGACAAAAAAUUGAUCAGCUAUUAAAAAAACCCCAGCAAAAACUCUUCUGCUGCAGUUGUUAUUUCCCGGUGUUUUCAACGUUUCCUCUGAGUGAUUAGCAGUUUUCUUUCUUCACCCUCCAAUUACGCAGCAGAUCCGAGCGCAACACGCGCUCAGCGCGUCGCGCCCGCGCGCAACGACACUGGCGACGGCACGAGUAUCGAUCAAGACGAGACACGGAGGAUGUCGCCCGCGCUAAAUAUUUACCGAUCACACACAAAUAGCAGGAUCUGUAAUGAUUUCCCAGGCUCCGGCUGCGAGGGGAAGCACUGAAUGACUUUAUUAUUGUUAGUAAAACAAAGCGCACGCUCUGGAACACAGGAGUGGAGAUGUGCUGACUGGGAUAAGUGCAGUUCAAUUAAUGGAUGGUGAGCAGAUAACAGUUGCGGUUUACGGGCGUGCAAAGACGAAGACGGGGAAGAAGAAGAAAAGAAGCAGCUUUCACUCGCGUCUCAGGUGAGAGUGACACAUGCACGGCGAUGGGUAAAUCCUCUGGCACGCCGGAUUGCGCACGGUGGUCAAAACGACGUCAAGUCAACAGAUUACUGAGUGAAAGUUUCACACCGGCCAGCGCGCGUUCGCGUGAAAAUAUCUCGCUCCGGCAUCUGAAUUUUCUCUUAAAGCGCUUUAGAUAUAAAAUAUGAUACUGCUCUCACCAUGUGUAAAAGAAAGAGAGAGAGAGAGAGGUAAAAGUGAAAUAAAAGUUGACUCUAAUCUUAUCUCUGCCUUCACCAAGUCCUCCAUGCAGAUAGAGGGAUUGUGACCCGCAGGUCUCCGAGUUCCCGGCCUGAUUAACCCCUCCAGACCCGAGCAGGAGCAAAGGUUAACCAGGCUAAUCAACUUCAAGAGUCUGAUUGAAUUAGAUGACGGUGGAAUCAGGACCGAAACUUCAUUGUCCCACUUAGAAAAAAAAAAACACACCAAGAAGAGAAACCUUGGACCUUUUUUUUUUUUUGGACAACUUACUAAAUUUAGAAUAUAAAACGGAGGAAUUAAAUGUAGAUAAGAGUAGAGAUAACUUUUUUUUAACAGCCAGCAGGUUUAAUCAGUUUCUUGUAAAAGCAUUAAACAUUUCCAACAUACUUUCAAUAUGCUAAACCCUCUUUAACACACACAGAUUGUUUUCUCUCUCUCUCCUGCUUGAUAAAGAUCAGUUGAUUGAUGGUGGUUGUGCCCCACAUGUCAUGACAUUUUUAUGUGCUGCAUUGCAUAUCAAUCAGUAGCCUUUAACUCUCCAGUAAAGGUUUUAUCUCUCCUCUCUUCGUGGCAGGGCUUCGUGGUGAUGUUGCUUGAAUAUGGAAAGAUGGAAUAAUAAAAAAAAAACCCCAGACCAAUUAGUUAAAAGUCUCCUUGUACAUUUGGCACUAAUUUAGUUAUAGGCCUAAAUAAUAUUUUCUGUUACUUAUAUACUUAAACAGCACAGGUGAUCACAAAUAAAACAAAAAUGUUACGUGAGCAAAUUGGCUUAUUUUUAUGUUUAAAUCAUGACAGUAUUAAAGAUUCCUAAAUUGCGAGGGCAUAAAAAUAACUGAUGAUAUUAAUUAUUUGCACACGUUUCAUCCCAAUAAUGUGUCAAUAUUUUUAUAGCAUAUAGUUUUUACAUGGUUGAAUUGAUUAUUCUUAAGCUCAUGUUUUUAUUGACAAAAGUAGGACUUGACUGUGAAGUUAUCUCCUGUAUUUUCUUCUUUUAAGAAUACAUCAUUUUUAAAAAGGCAUUCUGUGGUGUAAAUCUAUAUGCAAUUUAAUUAUAUUCAUACAUAUUGGUGAGUAUACUGACCACAAAUUGAUUGAAACUAUUUUAUAAAGAGUCCAUCCAGCGAUGUGCAUCACUUCUUUCUGUCUGCGCGCCCUGAGGGCCACUAUCUGAAAUGGCAAUAGAUCCCAGAUAGUUCACUGUUCAAUUUGCUAAUGAUAGAUUAUAGUGCCAAUUUAAACAGAUAGGGAUCAAUUUGUCUCAAUGAUCACUCCUCAGGCUGACUGCCAGCACGCUCUUAAUGUAUUUGUAAAUGCUGGUUGUUUGAAUCAUGGCGGUUCUGUCUGAAGUGAUCAGAACUGCAGUGUGGAGGGAAAUGAGCGGUGUAAAUGAUAAAUGAUGUGUUUUGGCUGCUAAAGAUGGAGCACUGACGGAGCGUACGCGACGAUUACUUCAGGCAGAGGCACUGCAGCAGCAGCGGCCAUAAGGUCAAUGGUUUAAGUCAGAGGACUUACUGGUAAAGUCUGGCGAGGAGAAUUGUGUGAUAAGUGCUCUGCAACCCUCAGGAAACUAGUGCUGAAGUGCCCUUCGGCAAAGCAGCUUAAACCCCAUCUGUCCCAGUGGAGGUGCAGAGCGGCCAGCAGGACAAGUCUGCGGCUGAACCGGCCACAUGUGAGAUGUGUCUCUUGGAGUGUGACCUGCCCUCCCUUUUCUUUUUGAAAAGUGGGCAGUCCACUCGCCCUCACACAGUUGUGUGUUUUUUCAAUUUUUUUUCAUGUACUCACACAAGUGAAAAGGUUUGGGAGACGACACACCAGGGGAAAGCAGUGGCACCAUUCAGCCCCUGAACCAGACAUGGGUCACAUGUGGCCCCAGAGGCAACAGACAGCGUAUUGGAUUACAGUAACUCAAGGUGUAAUGUGGUAGCAGUGUGGGAAAUGUAAAACAGUAUACAAACGGAUGUAGAGGAGGCGUAACCGCAGCUUCAGCUAUUUAAUGUUGAACACAUAUUUCUUAAAAUUUCAGAUACAAUCAGUUUUAACAGCAGACAUUCUCACCAACUUCUUAUUAUCAUUGGAUUUGUCACUAUCAAACUGUGUUUUGAUGUUGCAAUAAAUGCAUCGACUGUA